rnacentral:rRNA from 1 species
AACGAACGCUGGCGGCAGGCUUAACACAUGCAAGUCGAACGGUAACAGGAAACAGCUUGCUGUUUCGCUGACGAGUGGCGGACGGGUGAGUAAUGUCUGGGAAACUGCCUGAUGGAGAGGGAUAACUACUGGAAACGGUAGCUAAUACCGCAUAACGUCGCAAGACCAAAGAGGGGGACCUUCGGGCCUCUUGCCAUCGGAUGUGCCCAGAUGGGAUUAGCUAGUAGGGGGGGUAACGGCUCACCUAGGCGACGAUCCCUAGCUGGUCUGAGAGGAUGACCAGCCACAAUGGAACUGAGACACGGUCCAGACUCCUACGGGAGGCAGCAGUGGGGAAUAUUGCACAAUGGGCGCAAGCCUGAUGCAGCCAUGCCGCGUGUAUGAAGAAGGCCUUCGGGUUGUAAAGUACUUUCAGCGGGGAGGAAGGGAGUAAAGUUAAUACCUUUACUCAUUGACGUUACCCGCAGAAGAAGCACCGGCUAACUCCGUGCCAGCCGCCGCCGUAA